UACGAAGGGGGCUAGCGUUGCUCGGGAUUACUGGGCGUAAAGCGUGUGUAGGCGGCUACGUAAGUCGGAUGUGAAAGCCCCAGGCUCAACCUGGGAAGUGCACUCGAUACUGCGUAGCUUGAGUAUCGGAGAGGUUGGUGGAAUUCUCGGUGUAGAGGUGAAAUUCGUAGAUAUCGAGAGGAACACCGGUGGCGAAGGCGGCCAACUGGACGAAUACUGACGCUGAGACACGAAAGCGUGGGGAGCAAACAGG
rnacentral:rRNA from 1 species